AUUGAACGCUGGCGGCAGGCCUAACACAUGCAAGUCGAACGGCAGCACAGAAGAGCUUGCUCUUUGGGUGGCGAGUGGCGGACGGGUGAGUAAUGUCUGGGAAGCUGCCCGAUGGAGGGGGAUAACUACUGGAAACGGUAGCUAAUACCGCAUAACGUCGCGAGACCAAAGUGGGGGACCUUCGGGCCUCACACCAUCGGAUGUGCCCAGGUGGGAUUAGCUAGUAGGUGGGGUAAUGGCUCACCUAGGCGGCGAUCCCUAGCUGGUCUGAGAGGAUGACCAGCCACACUGAAACUGAGACACGGUCCAGACUCCUACGGGAGGCAGCAGUGGGGAAUAUUGCACAAUGGGCGCAAGCCUGAUGCAGCCAUGCCGCGUGUAUGAAGAAGGCCUUCGGGUUGUAAAGUACUUUCAGCGGGGAGGAAGGCGGUGAGGUUAAUAACCUCGCCGAUUGACGUUACCCGCAGAAGAAGCACCGGCUAACUCCGUGCCAGCAGCCGCAGUAA
rnacentral:rRNA from 1 species